UGGGGAAUAUUGGACAAUGGGCGAAAGCCUGAUCCAGCCAUGCCGCGUGUGUGAAGAAGGUCUUCGGAUUGUAAAGCACUUUAAGUUGGGAGGAAGGGUAGUUACCUAAUACGUGAUUGUUUUGACGUUACCGACAGAAUAAGCACCGGCUAACUCUGUGCCAGCAGCCGCGGUAAUACAGAGGGGUGCAAGCGUUAAUCGGAAUUACUGGGCGUAAAGCGCGCGUAGGUGGUUAGUUAAGUUGGAUGUGAAAUCCCCGGGCUCAACCUGGGAACUGCAUUCAAAACUGACUGACUAGAGUAUGGUAGAGGGUGGUGGAAUUUCCUGUGUAGCGGUGAAAUGCGUAGAUAUAGGAAGGAACACCAGUGGCGAAGGCGACCACCUGGACUGAUACUGACACUGAGUGCGAAAGCGUGGGGAGCAAAACAGG
rnacentral:rRNA from 1 species